rfam:Pteropus alecto contig98519, whole genome shotgun sequence.
GCCUACGGCCAUGGUAUCCUGAACAAGUCCAAUCCCAUCUGAUCUCGGAAGCUAAUCAGGGUCGGGCCUGGUUGGUACUUGGAUGGGAGACCACCUAGGAAGAACAGGUGCUGUAGGCA